AUUGCUUCUCUGCCUUUUGGCUAAGAUCAAGUGUAGUAUCUGUUCUAAUUAGUUUAAUAUUUAUUUCCAUUUGUAUACUUAUGGGUAAAUUAACUUCAU
rnacentral:snRNA from 1 species